UACGGAGGGGGCAAGCGUUGCUCGGAAUCACUGGGCGUAAAGGGCGCGUAGGCGGCCGAUCAAGUCAGGGGUGAAAGCCUGUGGCUCAACCACAGAAUGGCCUUUGAUACUGUUCGGCUCGAGACCGGAAGAGGUUGGUGGAACUGCGAGUGUAGAGGUGAAAUUCGUAGAUAUUCGCAAGAACACCAGUGGCGAAGGCGGCUCACUGGUCCGGUACUGACGCUGAGGUGCGAAAGCGUGGGGAGCAAACAGG
rnacentral:rRNA from 1 species